CGAUGGCAGUUGAUAAAUAAAUCCAAGUUAGCGGCUUUUAUAUUUAUCGGUGUGUAUAUACUUCUGAGUGGUGUGGUUGCUUCUGGAUGAAAUCCUAUCUCUGAAACCCUAAUUAAGCGAAUAAAUUAGGUUCUGCACGUGACAGUUUUCGGUUUCUUGAAUGAUAAGCCCAGCGCCUUGAUCUCUUGUUCAUAUGACCAUCUCGAAACGGCUUGAUCAGGAUAUGCUUCCUUAUACAGUUUAAACAUCUGAGUCCGGGCCAAGUGAGACGGUAGAAAUUUCUUGGAGGUUCUGCUGCGAGAAUAGUGCGACUCAUAAGCCGGGAAACUCAGUAUGUGAUUUCUAACUACUGUCCCGGAAUCCCCAACGAAUUAUUGUUGAUUUGUUUAAAUAAAUUGUCAAGUGCUGGA